UGCUGGUCUGAGUGCAUUGGUGUUUACAACUAAUUGAUCACAACCGGUUACAGAUUUCUUUGUACCUUCUCCACUCCCACUGCUUCACUGACCAGCCUUAA
ensembl:misc_RNA Y_RNA Y RNA